rnacentral:rRNA from 1 species
AAUGAACGUUGGCGGCAUGGAUUAGGCAUGCAAGUCGAGCGAGAAGGAAAUCAAAGUUUACUUUGGUUUCCGGAAAGCGGCGAAAGGGAGAGUAACGCGUAGUUAUCUACCCCAAGGCCCGGAAUAGCUGCGGGAAACUGCAGGUAAUGCCGGAUAAUAUCCCCGGAUCAAAGGUGUGAUUCCGCCUUGGGAGGAGACUGCGUUGUACUAGCUUGUUGGUAGGGUAAUGGCCUACCAAGGCUACGAUGCAUAGCUGGCGUGAGAGCGUGGCCCGUCUCACGGGGACUGAAACACUGCCCAGACACAUACGGGUGGCUGCAGUCGAGAAUCUUCGGCAAUGGGCGAAAGCCUGACCGAGCGAUGCCGCGUGCGGGAUGAAGGCCCUCGGGUUGUAAACCGCUGUCGUAGGGGAGGAAGGACCGUUGAAGAGACGGUUUUGAUCUAUCCUAGGAGGAAGUCCGGGCUAAGUUCGUGCCAGCCGCCGCGGUAA